UAUCCAUCAUCCAUCCAACUCAAAAAUUAAAACUUAAAUGACUAUCCAUCCAUCCAUCCAUCUUUCUAUCUGUAAGUAAUAAUUAAGAUCUAAAUUAAUAUUACAGUGCUGUACCUUAAUCUGAUCUUUAUAAUUAUAUUUCUAAUCAUUAUUAUCUUUGAAUAAUUAAAAGCCUGUGAAGAAAUUCUAUGCAUGAUAAAAACUGACACAUUCCUAGCGCUCGCUGUUAUGAAUAACUGAGUAUUUGCACUAUUUUUAUCACAGCUGAUGGAAUCUUGUAGGUGUUUGCAAAAGAGUUGAGUCUGAAAAUUUGCAUUGGAAAUUAGGAUGAAAUGAUGAAUAAAAAACAAUGUCUUGGGUUAACACACUGUUAAAAGUGUAAAAAUCUCCUUAAAAAGAAAGGUAUUUUAAAAGGUGUGAUGGGCUAAUAACCUCCCACCCAGCUACUUUCCUCCUUUGCUUUAAAAAAAAGUAUUUCCUGCUAACCGAAAACCCCCUGUGCUCUUAUCUCAAACUGUUUUUUUUAAGCCCAAUGCCUUUUGAAGUCACACAUUUGCACAGCCUGUAGCAAAUCCUUUGACCCCAAGUGUGUUUUAGUUUUCUUUGAUUAAAUAACACAGGGAAGGAACCUGAUGUUUUUUCUGAAGAGAGAUGUCAAGUUCAAAGGACACAGAGGUGUGUUGAUUACAACAGCUGCACUUAAUAAAAUAUCAGAGGAACAUGAAAAGAGAACAAAAGAGCGUGUUUUGAUUUCACACCAAACAGGUUUUGUUCUUGUUGUGUUUUAAAUUGAAGUGGUUAGUAAAGAUGUUUUACACAUUAUGUCUUUUUUGCUUUUUGAAACGUUUUGUCUAAAUAGGUCUUUUUAUUCACCCACAAGUGCCAUUUGUGUGGGAAGUCGUUGGUGUUGCUGGAGGAGGAAAUGUGGGAACAGGCUGUCCCUGCUGCUGAUAAGGACGUACGGAACUUCCUACCUUCCACAUAUGGGACCGGUCCUUUAACUGGAAAGAGGUGCUGCCAGGGGUCAUUGCAAAUUGUCCAUGUGCCUGUUCAGUCAUGUGCCACUCGAGCAUCCAGACUCCAUCUCCAUAUCUCAAUCCGGAUGGCUUUUCCUUAAGCAAGACUUUCAGCCUAUUCCCUUGAUGCCUCCUGACAGAGAGCUGGCAGGUGCUCUCGGCCGUUCGCAACUCUUCCAAUCACUCAGCUUUUCUUCGGCUGAGGGGGGGUGAUACCUGCCAACUGCUGUUUUGUUUUAGAUUAGCCGCUUCCCUAAAUCCCGACCCUCGGCCGGAUGUCCCAAACCCAUCUGUCACCGAACGGAGGCUGAGAGGAUAGAGGGGAGUAGGACAAGAAAAGAGGAUGAGCUAGUGAAAGAAGCUAGGACGUAAUUGCUUCUGGUGUAAACCCUUUCAGCGCUAGUCAUAGUGUUUUGUUGCUGUAGCAAGGGGCUACAUGCUAAUGUCCUACUGUUUGUUGAAAAUGUUAAAAAAACAAAACCAAA